rnacentral:rRNA from 1 species
GCUGGGCGGAUUAUUGGCGAACGGGUGAGUAAUACGUGAGUAACCUGCCCUUGACUCUGGGAUAAGCCUGGGAAACUGGGUCUAAUACUGGAUACUACCUCUUACCGCAUGGUGGGUGGUGGAAAGGGUUUUACUGGUUUUGGAUGGGCUCACGGCCUAUCAGCUUGUUGGUGGGGUAAUGGCUCACCAAGGCGACGACGGGUACUGGGCCUGAAAGGGGGACCGGCCCCCCUGGAACGGAAACCCGGCCCGAACUCCUACGGGAGGCAGCAGGGGGGAAUAUUGCACAAUGGGCGGAACCCUGAUGCAGCGAGCCCGCGUGAGGGAUGACGGCCUUCGGGUUGUAAACCUCUUUCAUUAGGGAAAAGGCGAGAGUGACGGUACCUGCAAAAGAAGCGCCGGCUAACUACGUGCCAGCAGCCGCGGUAAUACGUAGGGCGCAAGCGUUGUCCGGAAUUAUUGGGCGUAAAGAGCUCGUACUGCGGUUUGUCGCGUCUGCUGUGAGAGCGCGGGGCUCAACCCCAGGUCUGCAGUGUGUACGGUCAGACUACAGUGCAGUAUGGGAGACUGGAAUUCCUGGUGUAGCGGUGAAAUGCGCAGAUAUCCGGAGGAACACCUAUGGCCAGGCGGGUCUCUGGGCUGUUACUGACGCUCCUGAGCGGAUACAUGCGCAGCGAUCC